rnacentral:misc_RNA from 1 species
GUCUUGUUCGCCCGGUCGUAUUGAUAGACGCGACCGACAGGAAUGGUGUUGCCAGAGAUGGAGAUCGGUACGCCGAUGAUGCCGCCGGUAUCGAAGUCCUUGAUAGAGUUCAACGAGGCCUUCAUGUUGGUCGCGGUGAGAUCCUUCUUGGCAUCGAGUGUACGUUUUGCCGCUUCGAUCAUCAGCAUCGCGGUGAGGAAGCCCU